rnacentral:rRNA from 1 species
CGUAACAGCUCACUGGUCGAGCGAGACGAGCAUCGAUAAUAAACGGGCAUGAAGCACCCCACUGAAGCCGUGGACACCAGCUUAGGGCUGGUUGUGGUAGGAGAGCAUUCUAAGGGGGGUGAAGGUGAAGCGUGAGCUUUGCUGGACCGCUUAGAAAAGCCAAUGUAGGCAUAAGUAACGAGAAACAGAGUGAGAACCUCUGUCACCGAAAGACGAAGGAUUCCACCGCUAUGGCAAUCAACGGUGGGUUAGUCGGCUCCUAAGGGGAAGGCGAGAGCCGCACCUGAGGGUAAACGGGUUAAUAUUCCCGUACUGGUUCGUUGAGAGAAGCGGGGACGGAGUACAAAACUGGCCGCGGACUGCGGGAAAUGUCCGUUGAAGGCUGUAAGCUAUUGGUUCCAUAGGGAAGUCCGUGGGAUCAGGUGGAAGCUGAUAGUACACUGAGCUCUUCGGAGCCCGGUGAUAGUGCCAGGGCUGGUCUUCCAAGAAAAGCCGCUAUCGUUAAUUGACGGAGCAACCGUACCGCAAACCGACACAGGUGGGCGAGAUGAGUAUUCUAAGGCGCUUGAGAGAACUCGGGAGAAGGAACUCGGCAAAUUGGUACCGUAACUUCGGGAUAAGGUACGCCCUAGUAGUUUGACCACUUUACUGUGGAAGGAUGAACGGGUUGCAAUAAAAUGGUGGCUGCGACUGUUUAAUAAAAACACAGCACUCUGCAAACACGAAAG